rnacentral:rRNA from 1 species
CCUACGGGAGGCUGCAGUGGGGAAUAUUGCACAAUGGGGGAAACCCUGAUGCAGCGACGUCGCGUGAGCGAUGAAGGACUUCGGUAUGUUAAGCUCCUUCAGCAGGGGAGAAAAUGACGGCACCUGUGUAAGUAGCUCCGGCUAACUUCGAGCCAGCAGCCGCGGUAACACGUAGGGGGCCAGCGUUAUACGGAUUUACUGGGUGUAAAGGGAGCGUAGACGGCGGUGCAAGCCAGAAGUGAAAGUCUGUGGCGCAACCUCGGGACUGCGGUUGGAACUGUGUUGCUAGAGUGCGGGAGAGGCAGGCGGAAUUCCUAGUGUAGCGGUGAAAUGCGUAGAUAUUACGAAGAACUCCGAUGGCGAAGGCAGCAUACUGGACCGCUACUGACGUUGAAGCUCGAAGGCGUGGGGAGCGAACAGGAUUAGAUACCCGAGUAGUC